GAUGAACGCUGGCGGCGUGCUUAACACAUGCAAGUCGAACGAAGCACUUUAUUUGAUUUCCUUCGGGACUGAUUAUUUUGUGACUGAGUGGCGGACGGGUGAGUAACGCGUGGGUAACCUGCCUUGUACAGGGGGAUAACAGUUGGAAACGGCUGCUAAUACCGCAUAAGCGCACGGCAUCGCAUGAUGCAGUGUGAAAAACUCCGGUGGUAUAAGAUGGACCCGCGUUGGAUUAGCUAGUUGGUGAGGUAACGGCCCACCAAGGCGACGAUCCAUAGCCGACCUGAGAGGGUGACCGGACACAUUGGGACUGAGCAACGGCACAAACUCCUACGGGAGGCAGCAGUGGGGAAUAUUGCACAAUGGGCGAAAGCAUGAUGCAGCGACGCCGCGUGAGCGAAGAAGUAUUUCGGUAUGUAAAGCUCUAUCAGCAGGGAAGAUAAUGACGGUACCUGACCAAGAAGCACCGGCUAAAUACGUG
rnacentral:rRNA from 1 species